GAUGAACGCUGGCGGCGUGCCUAAUACAUGCAAGUCGAGCGAACAGACGAGGCGCUUGCUCCUCUGACGUUAGCGGUGGACGGGUGAGUAACACGUGGAUAACCUACCUAUAAGACUGGGAUAACUUCGGGAAACCGGAGCUAAUACCGGAUAACAUGUUGAACCGCAUGGUUCAACAGUGAAAGACGGUCUUGCUGUCACUUAUAGAUGGAUCCGCGCCGCAUUAGCUAGUUGGUAAGGUAACGGCUUACCAAGGCAACGAUGCGUAGCCGACCUGAGAGGAUGAUCGGCCACACUGGAACUGAGACACGGUCCAGACUCCUACGGGAGGCAGCAGUAGGGAAUCUUCCGCAAUGGGCGAAAGCCUGACGGAGCAACGCCGCGUGAGUGAAGAAGGUCUUCGGAUCGUAAAGCUCUGUUAUUAGGGAAGAACAAAUGUGUAAGUAACUAUGCACGUCUUGACGGUACCUAAUCAGAAAGCCACGGCUAACUACGUG
rnacentral:rRNA from 1 species